GACGAACCGUGCGAACGUUAUUCGGAAUCACUGGGCUUAAAGCGCGUGUAGGCGGAUGGGGACGUCGGUUGUUGAAAGCCCCCGGCUCAACCGGGGAACUGGCACCGAAACGCCCCGUCUCGAGGGACGUAGGGGGACCUGGAACUUCCGGUGGAGCGGUGAAAUGCGUUGAGAUCGGAAGGAACGCCCGUGGCGAAAGCGGCUCACUGGACCAUAACUGACGCUGAUGCACGAAAGCUGGGGGAGCAAACAGG
rnacentral:rRNA from 1 species